rnacentral:rRNA from 1 species
UACAGAGGUCUCAAGCGUUAAUCGGAAUUACUGGGCGUAAAGCGUGCGCAGGCGGUUUGUUAAGCCAGAUGUGAAAGCCCCGGGCUCAACCUGGGAACUGCGUUUGGGACUGGCAAGCUAGAGUACGGCAGAGGGGGGUGGAAUUCCACGUGUAGCAGUGAAAUGCGUAGAUAUGUGGAGGAACACCGAUGGCGAAGGCAGCCCCCUGGGCCGAUACUGACGCUCAGGCACGAAAGCAUGGGGAGCGAACAGG